UACGUAGGGGGCAAGCGUUGUCCGGAAUCAUUGGGCGUAAAGAGCGCGUAGGCGGCCCUGUAAGUCCGCUGUGAAAGUCAAGGGCUCAACCCUUGGAUGCCGGUGGAUACUGCAGGGCUAGAGUCCGGAAGAGGCGAGUGGAAUUCCUGGUGUAGCGGUGGAAUGCGCAGAUAUCAGGAGGAACACCAAUAGCGAAGGCAGCUCGCUGGGACGGUAUUGACGCUAAGGCGCGAAAGCGUGGGGAGCAAACAGG
rnacentral:rRNA from 1 species